rnacentral:rRNA from 1 species
GACGGAAGGUGCAAGCGUUGCUCGGAAUCACUGGGCGUAAAGGGUGCGUAGGCGGCUUGGUAGGUCUGGUGUGAAAGCCCCGGGCUCAGCCCGGGAAGGGCACUAGAAACUGCCAAGCUAGAGUGCCGGAGGGGAGAGUGGAAUUCCUGGUGUAGCGGUGAAAUGCGUAGAUAUCAGGAGGAAUACCGGUGGCGAAAGCGGCGUCCUGGACUGGACCUGACGCUCAGGAGCGAAAGCGUGGGGAGCGAUCCGG